rnacentral:rRNA from 1 species
AACGAACGCUGGCGGCAGGCCUAACACAUGCAAGUCGAGCGAGAUCUUCGGGUCUAGCGGCGGACGGGUGAGUAACGCGUGGGAAUAUGCCUCUUGGUACGGAAUAGCCUCGGGAAACUGGGAGUAAUACCGUAUGUGCCCUUUGGGGGAAAGAUUUAUCGCCAAGAGAUUAGCCCGCGUUGGAUUAGGUAGUUGGUGGGGUAAUGGCCUACCAAGCCGACGAUCCAUAGCUGGUUUGAGAGGAUGAUCAGCCACACUGGGACUGAGACACGGCCCAGACUCCUACGGGAGGCAGCAGUGGGGAAUCUUAGACAAUGGGGGCAACCCUGAUCUAGCUAUGCCGCGUGAGUGAUGAAGGCCUUAGGGUUGUAAAGCUCUUUCAGCUGGGAAGAUAAUGACGGUACCAGCAGAAGAAGCCCCGGCUAACUCCGUG